rnacentral:lncRNA from 1 species
AGAGAUGUGAGGUUGAGAUGAUGGUGGUAGGUGGUGGUAAAUGGUAGUAGGUGGAAUAGUGUUUAAUCCAAGGGCUAUUAAUAAUCAAAAAGUAGAUCCAAUGGCUUAAAACCUAAUAGCACCAUGAUGGUGAUACUUGUAAGAAGUAUCAUAGCUCAACUCUAAUAUAUAUAUAUAUAUAUAUAGAGAGAGAGAGAGAGAGAGAGAGAGAGAGAGAGAGAGAGAGAGAGAAGGGCUGCUGUGCUCUUAGGAGCCCUCCGUGCUCCUGAGCCGUUUUCGAUGAUGGGACUCCCAAAUUGACGAUCUGCUCCGUUAGACUUGAUCUAGCGUAUUUGAAGUUUCUAGAAAAUAAUUUUUGCAAUUUUUCGAUAUCAUUUACCUAGCAAUCGAAAGGAUUUAAAAUCAAUAAUUUUUAACGGCUGAAAAUAAAAAUCCUAUAAAAAGUGGUGAUAUAGCACUAAAAUUUUCGAUCAUAAAUAUUGAUCUUGUUGUAGACAGUAUAAAGAAUUUUGUAUCAAAAUUUUAUCUGAUUUGAAUACUUCUACACUGUAAAACUUGAAAACGGCAGAUAUCAACCAUUAAAAAUUAUUGAUUUUGAAUCAUUUCGAUUACUAGGUAAUGAUAUCAAAAAAUCACAAAAAUUAUUUUCUAGAGACUUCAAAUACCCGAGAUCAAGUCUAACGGAGCCGAUCGUCAAUUUGAAUGUUCCAUCAUCGAAAAUGGUUCAGGAGCACGGAGAGCUCCAUGCUUCUUAGAGCACAGCAGCCCUGCUAUAUAUAUAUAUAUAUAUA